rnacentral:misc_RNA from 1 species
AAUUACCAAAGUUUAUCCAAUGGAUGCAGUUUUUGACAGUCCUGAGGAUGUUCCUGAAGAUGUAAAAACAAACAAACGGUAUUCAGGGGCCUCCAAAUGGACUGUUCAGGACCUAGUUGAAUCCGUGAAGCAGGAUUUUGGCAGCAUUGACAUCCUUGUGCACUCACUUGCAAAUGGGCCAGAGGUUAGCAAACCUCUUCUGGAGACAUCAAGGUAUGGAUAUCUUGCCGCCAUCUCUGCAUCAAGUUACUCAUUUAUUUCCUUACUGAAGCAUUUUGUUCCAAUAAUGAAUCCAGGUACACUUAUUGCCCAAUUUCCUUUCCUUUUUAAUGUGAUUUUUAUUCCUCUCUCUAUUUAUCUCACUUCAUCCUACUCCUUUGGAAGCCCAAAUGGUGUUUAAGAAAAUAAUCUUGGCGAUGCCAGAGAGUGUUGUUAGAACUUGAGUUUUGUUGUUGAUAUUACAG